UCUCUCCCAUGCUGACAGUGCUCUUAGCAGCCGCGGCCACAACACGACCUCAGUGACAGCAGCCACGGCGGGCCAGGAUCUGUGCUAAGGGUUUUCCAUGCCUCCGUUGCACGUACCCUAACAACCACCCAAGGAGGGGGUGUUGUCUUUGUAUCCCAGAACGGUUAAGCAGCUUACUUGGGAUCACACAAUCCACAGACUUCCCUUGUUGAGGUGAGGCAGCGCCUUCGACGUCUCUGACUCCUAGGCCAGGUGUGUGUCUAGCUCCGUGAUGGAAGGUGCCAGCUUCCCUUGUAAGUGACCAGCAUGGGCUCUGCUUCACCCUUCCGGGCUCCCAGCUUACCCAGACCUUAGCAGUCUGCUGACUCCAGCUUUCAGCAGAGCAGAAACAACGCCUUGGGAAGACUUAAAACAACUUUGAAUAAGAACCUGCUUGAGAAAGAUUUGCCUUACAAGCUAAAUGUUACAUUUCCACUCAACAGAAAGGUACUGCUGUGUGGCCGUAAAAAGCUGGCCAAAACCCUGUAACCUUUGCAGUUAGUCAUGUUAUUUUUGGUUCAUGCCAACAUGGAUCACAGCUGUGACUCAACAGAGCCACUGAAGCAAGAAUUCAAAGAGUUUAAAGAACAGCAAACUCAGAAAUGACUUUUUUUUUCUUAUGGUGUCAUUACGCAACAUUUCUUGUCGUUUACCUUUUCUAAUUUACCAACUCCAUACAGAUGAGCUCAGUCGUUGUUUGGCAAUUGAAAAUCUGAGUUGCGUCAGCACACUUCCCCAAAUCCCACUGCAGGCGGAGGAUGAUGAAGCUUUCCUUUCUGGGGUGUUUGUUUUACGUAAGUAGUGACUUACUUUUCAGAGGUAAAAAAAAAAAAAAAAUCUGUGUUGAUAUAUGUCUCCCUCAAACCAAAAAUAGGACUGGGGAUUGAUUUAAACGUUUGCAGUUCCCCAUUUGAAGAUGACAGAAAGCCCAUAUCGACUGGUUCUGCCUUUGUUUUUGUUUUUCACUAAUUUAUAUUCACAAAAUGAAGCCAUAAGCUUAGACCUCACCGAAUGGAAAACAGGCAUGGACUUCAGCAGGCAAUAUAUUAGCAUAUUUAUCAACAUCCUUUAGAUUUUUGCUUUCAUUUUUUAAAUUACCAUGUAAACUUGAAGAUAACCCCAGUUUUCCCAUUUGUGGGAACAUAAGAAAGGGAGAUGAAAAAAAAUAAUAUUUGUCCCUUAUCUAUGAAGUGCUUUUAUUUUUUAAAUUUUUUUUAUUACCUGAAGAACUACAUUAUCGUCAAUAUGAAGUGCUGUUUUUUUAAGCAUUAUGAUUAGACUUAAGGAUUCUAAGGACUAAAGUAUUAAGGUGUUUUUUGUUGUUAUUUGCUAAUCAUUAAUCAACUGUUUUACCUGAUUAAUUUUCUCUUUGGGAAAAUAGAUUGAGAUUGUGAUCUGGGAGACCAAAGUAGACAUUACUUUAUCAAUGAAGAAGGACCUUAAGGUUAACGAAACAAAAAGUUGGCCAGGUGAGGUGGCUCACGCCUGUAAUCCCAGCACUUUGGGAGGCAGAGGUGGGUG
rnacentral:lncRNA from 1 species